rnacentral:rRNA from 1 species
AUGUUCGUCCUGGGAGAAGACAGCGUGGAGGAGAUCCAGCGCAAGCCUCUGCCGGAGGUGGCGUCCAUGGUGUGCGAACUGAUCAAUGCGCGCGCGUACGACGACCGCUUUCAGGAGGUGGUUGACCGGGUGGAGCAGCACAAGUCCGGCGCCACCUACAUGGACGCGUCCAACAUCGGGCUGGGCUACCCGACGGUGGCUGUGACGGCCUUCACCUCGUUCCCGAUGGACACGGACUUGGGCUUUGGCCACGCGGCAAUGGCGAUGACGACAACGUGCGGCAGGGGGCUAUGCUCGGGGUUCGUAUAG